UGAUGUCCCUGGAAUGAAUUUAGCAGUGAGGCUUUGAAGUACAUGGUCAAUCCAGCUUCUACAGUUCUUCCAGAAGUCACUUGAUCUCCAUUCCUGAGUCACUGUGGAAAUCUGAUGAGCUACCUAAGAUAUUCUGUUGCAGCCCACUUAGGAAUGUGACAUGCUGGGCUUUGUGUGUGUAACUGGUGAGAGUUCUUUUGGGGACCUUCAUCGUCUCAAAUCCAGUACACCAAGCAUCUGGAAUCUUCAUGAGCCACUCACUUGCAGGAAGAAAUGGACUUGGCAUUAUUGGACUGUAAUUAGAGGGAUGUGAAAUGAAACUUAAACAGGACCUUGAAUUGUUAUGUUAAAUGUUAAUACUUGAUGAAUGUUAUAUGUUAAGAAAAAGUAAAUAGGUUACAGUAAAGUAAAUUGAGGUUACAGAAGCUUUCAGACAAAAGUGGAGUUUAAUGUUGUCAUCACAUAAUGCUCUUAGGUGGCUGUUUAACUUAGUCAAUGCACUGAAAAAAAAUACUUGAUGAAAGUUCAACUAGAGUAAACUGAGAAGUUCUGA